AAUGAACGCUGGCGGCGUGCCUAACACAUGCAAGUCGAAUGUGCCGCAAGGUGCAUGGCAGACGGGUGAGUAACGCGUGGGCAAUCUACCUUCUCGUGGGGAAUAACGCUCCGAAAGGAGUGGUAAUACCGCAUGAGACCCGUGGCUGGGAUGCUGUGGGUGAAACCUGGGGACCUUCGGGCCUGGGGCGAGAAGAGGAGCCUGCGUCUGAUUAGCUAGUUGGUGGGGUAACGGCCUACCAAGGCGACGAUCAGUAGCCGGCCCGAGAGGGUGAUCGGCCACACUGGAACUGAGACACGGUCCAGACUCCUACGGGAGGCAGCAGUGGGGAAUUUUGCGCAAUGGGCGAAAGCCUGACGCAGCAACGCCGCGUGGGUGAUGAAGGUCUUCGGAUCGUAAAACCCUGUCGUUGGGGACGAAGGUGGGGGCGUUAAUAGCGCUUCUGCUUGACGGUACCCGGAGAGGAAGCCCCGGCUAACUCUGUGCCAGCAGCCGCGGUAACAC
rnacentral:rRNA from 1 species